UGGAGGUGUGAUCAUAUACGUAAAUUUUGGUGUUAUUGAUAGGCCAGCUAUAAGAUUGAUAAUCGUGCCAGCGGGGCAAAACUCUCAUCGAUCGAAGCGUAAGAUAACAAGUUCCUGCAUAUCAUUUUCCCCAAUGAUAAUCCGCUCAUCUCCCUGAAUAAACCCCUUGAAAGCAAUCUCGUGUAAUAAGCGGGGCUCAAGUACGGAAUAUCUGUUAUCCGAGUGUGGUGCCUGGAUUUUGACCUGUAGGUGUUGGGUACUCUUGCAAUCUUCGCGGUUCGAGAUGGAAGUUUGCAGACUAAAAAAAACUUGCGCCUCUUCAUCAAUGGCUUCGGAAAUAGUUGCGGGCCAAAGAUAGGAUCCUCGGAGGAAGGGGCGAUUGUACAUGCUCGUAUUGCCACGGUAUGGAGGAAUGGGAAAUUCGAGGGCCCUUCGCCAGCUUGGACCAUAGCUGAGGAAAGGGAUGCUGGUGAUUUGGGC
rnacentral:sRNA from 2 species